rnacentral:rRNA from 1 species
CUCGUAGGCGGCUUGUCGCGUCUGCUGUGAAAACCCGGGGCUCAACCCCGGGCCUGCAGUGGGUACGGGCAGGCUAGAGUGCGGUAGGGGAGAUUGGAAUUCCUGGUGUAGCGGUGGAAUGCGCAGAUAUCAGGAGGAACACCGAUGGCGAAGGCAGAUCUCUGGGCCGUAACUGACGCUGAGGAGCGAAAGCAUGGGGAGCGAACA